UUAAUUUAUAGUAGUAAAAUAAUACACUGUCAUAAAUGUGACUUUUUUUACAUUCUUCUUCGCAUCCUGUACCACCCAUACAGUUUAAAUAUAAGGUAGAGUUCAUUAACAAGGAGGGUCAUUUGUCCCAAACUUUCCAUUGUGAAAGAACUGUAGCUCCACCUUAUUCCAACAUAAUCUAUAUUCUUUCUGCUCUGCUUCUAUUCACUUAGCUCACCGUUCUGAAUGUGGCAGGUUGGACUCUCCAGAGAACUGAUAUCCUCUGAUGAAGCAAGAGAAGAUCCAGUGAACUAGCUUCUGGAUUCAAUUCAAGGCAAACCAAAUAUGUGGCUGCUUCCAAUCUCACUGUGCUUGCUUUACUGGUCUGUAUUAGUUGAAGGAAACAGUUUGAAUCGAACCAUGGAUCCUGAAGCCAAACUGAAUUCAGUAAGUAAUCUCGAAACAUCUCCAAGGAAUUUCUCAGAACAGCCCAUGGCUCCUUUCCUUCCAUUGGAACAAUUUGCCUGCUGAAGCAAAGAUGGCUUCAACUCUCAAGGCCUUCCAAAGCCUCAUAAAGAAUUAGCUACGCUGGAAGGCCUUCAGAUACUGACAAUCUUGUCAGAACUGAACCUGGUUGGCUGUGUGGACCAACCGGCACAAUACGUCAAAAAAUGGGGUGUGAGGUCUUCAUGCUAAGCACAAUUGGGGGGCGGAGGGGGAAGGGGAAGGGAGCAAUGAAUGAAGACAUGGCCGCCUGAUUCAAUUGCGGAGUUGAACCAAUCUGUGCAUAACCAUUCUGUGUAAGGGAUGUCAUUAGAUCUCUCCUUGCUCUCCUUG